rnacentral:rRNA from 1 species
CCUACGGGCGGCAGCAGUGGGGAAUAUUGCACAAUGGGGGAAACCCUGAUGCAGCAACGCCGCGUGAGUGAAGAAGUAUUUCGGUAUGUAAAGCUCUAUCAGCAGGGAAGAAAAUGACAGUACCUGACUAAGAAGCCCCGGCUAACUACGUGCCAGCAGCCGCGGUAAUACGUAGGGGGCAAGCGUUAUCCGGAUUUACUGGGUGUAAAGGGAGCGUAGACGGCUGCGCAAGUCAGAAGUGAAAUCCCGGGGCCCAACCGCGGGACUGCUUUUGAAACUGUGUAGCUAGAGUGCAGGAGAGGUAAGUGGAAUUCCUAGUGUAGCGGUGAAAUGCGUAGAUAUUAGGAGGAACACCGGUGGCGAAGGCGGCUUACUGGACUGUAACUGACGUUGAGGCUCGAAAGCGUGGGGAGCAAACAGGAUUAGAUACCCCGGUAGUC